GGGCAGGAUAUGUAUAAAAGGCCUCAGAUCACGCUGUCUCCUCACUGCAUUUGAUAUACCAUCACUUGCCUGAGGUAAGAAGAACAAGAGCAACUGAACUUUCUCCAAGAUGUUCUGCCAGCAAAACCAGCAGAAGUACCAGCUCCCCACCAAGAGCCUCUCCAAAUAUCCACCUAAGCGCUUCCCUCAGGUUCCUCAGUUUCCUCAGGCCCCUCAGGCCCCUCAGGCCCCUCAGGCCCCUGCUCCCUGCCUGCCUCCCGCCCGCACCCACUAUGUCUCCAGCUGCUCUAUUUCUGGCUUUGGAGGCUGCAGCUCUCUGGUAUCCCAUCGGUUCCCAAGCAACACCCGACGCCAGCCCCAGCCUUCCAGCUGUGUAGACGUGGAGCUUGCUGGAUGUUCCAGUUGCUGCCAUGGUUUUGGGGACUACAGCUGACCUGCAACUGUUGAGGAUCCAAAGAGCCACAGCCAAGGACCAGUCCAGAGCCAAUGUCACUUCUCGGUCUUAUUCUUCCCUUUCCUCCAGAAUUAAGCUGCUGGGAUGGAUUUCUCUUUUUCCCAAAAAUCUCGCACCUCCUGGCCUUAGCUCUGGUCUUAGGUCAAGAAGAUCCAAAUACUGCAAUAAAGUCUGCUCUUCAAAGCCU